UAGAAAUUGCAAAUUGAAUAAACACAGAGCAUUGAACUACCCGAAAGGAUACACUUCUUAAUUAUUUUUGGGACACAAAUCUUACCUCGCAGUUGACAUUGAAAAUGUAAUCUCCAAAAUUGUAAAUAUGUUCUCCAGAAUGCUGCUGUUUCUGUGUGUUUAUUUAUACAUUGGAGCUGCGUGCCUAGUUUAUGCAAUCGAGGCUAGCGAUUGGGACCGCUGAUUUUAGAAAGAAUAUUGAAAUUGACCGUGCGGCUUUGUCCAGUCCAAACGCAAGUUAAGCGCAUUAAAGAUAAUUGCAAUUUGUAUUAUGUAAAUGGCCGGAAUGGAAAGUAAAAGUGGCUGUUGGACCACGGGGAGCUGACGAAAAAUACAAUAAAAACAAACAAAUUAAGUCCAGGACCCCGCAUAAA